UACGUAGGUGGCAAGCGUUGUCCGGAAUUAUUGGGCGUAAAGCGCGCGCAGGCGGUCCUUUAAGUCUGAUGUGAAAGCCCACGGCUCAACCGUGGAGGGUCAUUGGAAACUGGGGGACUUGAGUGCAGGAGAGAAGAGUGGAAUUCCACGUGUAGCGGUGAAAUGCGUAGAGAUGUGGAGGAACACCAGUGGCGAAGGCGACACGCUGGGCCGUACCUGACACUGAACCGCGACAGCAUGGGGAGCAAACAGG
rnacentral:rRNA from 1 species